rnacentral:lncRNA from 1 species
GUUUCUACAGAACUAUACCUACUCUUAAACGCUCUUGUACCUCUUUUUGUUUCAUUCGCUGCUCUCAUCCCUAUUCUUCGCCAACCGCCUCUUGAACCUCUUCCACCAGAUGGAGUUCGACGAGAUUCUCUCAUGUUUCUCUUGCUUAACAUAUUAGCGGUCUUGAAUGGUGUUUAUCUGCUUCUCUUUCGUUCAAAGACUUCUGAUGUAACUUCAGCUCGUCUUCUCUUUGGUGGAUCAUUACUUCUCUUGAUUCUUCCUCUAUGCCUUCCUGGUCUAGUCUAUGCUCGUAAUUGGUAUCUACACAAUAUUCACUCCAGUUUUCGUCUAGAAGGUUCUGGUUUCAUUCUUGUUGAUGUUGAUGAGCUUGAGAUGCAUAAAGGAAUGGUGACACGUGAAGCCAGCCUUGAAGGCUACCAGUUGCUAAACGAUGAUGUAGUGCGAGCUGUCAAUACUCCUGAUCAGAAGAGUUUCAUUGAAGAUGACGACGGAUGUUGUUGCACUAAGCUUAUUACAAGAAAUCAGCUUGGGAUGCUUGGAGAAGAACAUCCUUUAUCUUUACUCUUAUGCAGAUCAGAUUUCUGGCUUUACUAUAUAGCCUACUUUUGCGGCGGCACGAUUGGGCUGGUUUAUAGCAACAACCUGGGACAGAUUGCACAAUCUUUAGGACAAAGCUCAGAGACAACAACUCUUGUAACGCUUUAUUCGUCUUUCUCAUUCUUUGGUCGAUUACUUUCAGCAACACCAGACUAUAUCAGAGCGUAAGUCCUCGCACAAGCAUUUGUAUUCCUCUGGUUCUGGCAUUGUGAAGAUUAUGAUGUUAUUGAAAUGUGAAUUGUGCAGGAAGGUUUAUUUUGCUAGAACAGGGUGGCUAGCCGUUGCUCUUUUACCAACCACAAUUGCUCUUUUCUUGUUGGCAUCAUCAGGAAGCUUGGCAGCGUUACAAGCAGGAACAGCUCUAAUCGGUCUAAGCUCGGGUUUCAUAUUUGCAGCAGCGGUUUCCAUAACAUCUGAGCUUUUUGGACCCAACAGUGUCGGGGUUAACCACAACAUCCUCAUCACAAACAUACCGAUAGGAUCAUUGGUCUAUGGGUUCUUAGCUGCUUUGGUCUAUGAAUCCCAUAGCGUGGCUGGCUCAAAGACAGAGUCGGUUAUAUGUAUGGGACGAGACUGUUACCUCCUAACGUUUGUGUGGUGGGGAUGCUUGUCGGUGAUUGGACUAGCUUCAAGUGUUGUCUUGUUUUUGAGAACUAGACGAGCCUAUCAACGUUUUGAACAAGAUCGGAUAACUUCAAGCAUGCUCUAUUCUUAGAAUUUUCUCCAAUGAGUUGGGUGUAAAAAUUGGAACUCAAACUUGUGCGGAGAUGUGUUAAGUGCACAGAAGUUUUGAUCUUUUUUGCAAAAAAUAAGAAGAAAGAGGGAAUCUUAGGACAUAACUGCCAGUUAUUAACUGGUCAUUUAAUUUAAGAGUUCAGAUUUUCUUUUGAACGGGGGAAUUGAAUCUCUGGACUAUUGAUGAUGCAGAUGUAUGUCAAAUGGUCAUGGGUUCAAUUAUUGGGACUAUUGUUUUGUUCAUGUAUAAAAUUCAAAUUUAAUAUGAAUUUAUAUAGUUAUAGGCACA